GACGAACGCUGGCGGCGUGCCUAACACAUGCAAGUCGAACGAGGUCCAUGAGAGCUUGCUCUCGGACGACCUAGUGGCGAACGGGUGAGUAACACGUGAGAAACCUGCCUCGGAGUGGGGAAUAACUCGGGGAAACUCGAGCUAAUACCGCAUACCUUCAGAUGAUCGCAUGGUCGACUGAAGAAAGAAUUUCGCUCUGAGAGGGUCUCGCGGCCUAUCAGCUAGUUGGUGGGGUAACGGCCUACCAAGGCAACGACGGGUAGCUGGAUUGGGAGACCGAUCAGCCACUCUGGGACUGAGACACGGCCCAGACUCCUACGGGAGGCAGCAGUGGGGAAUCUUGCGCAAUGGGCGAAAGCCUGACGCAGCAACGCCGCGUGCGGGAUGACGGCCUUCGUGGUUGUAAACCGCUUUCAGCAGGGACGAAAUUGACGGUACCUGCAGAAGAAGCCCCGGCUAACUACGUGCCAGCCGCCGCGGUAAGAC
rnacentral:rRNA from 1 species